GAUGAAGAACGUAGCGAAAUGCGAUAAGUAAUGUGAAUUGCAGAAUUCAGUGAAUCAUCGAAUCUUUGAACGCACAUUGCGCCCGCCAGUAUUCUGGCGGGCAUGCCUGUUCGAGCGUCAUUUCAACCAUCAAGCCCCCCGGCUUGUGUUGGGGACCUGCGGCUGCCGCAGGCCCUGAAAAGCAGUGGCGGGCUCGCUGUCACACCGAGCGUAGUAGCAUACAUCUCGCUCUGGGCGUGCUGCGGGUUCCGGCCGUUAAACCACCUUCAUAACCCAAGGUUGACCUCGGAUCAGGUAGGAAGACCCGCUGAACUUAAGCAUACAAUAAGCGGAGGA
rnacentral:misc_RNA from 1 species